GAUGAACGCUAGCGGCAGGCUUAACACAUGCAAGUCGAGGGGUAGAGGAAGCUUGCUUCCUUGAGACCGGCGCACGGGUGCGUAACGCGUAUGCAACCUACCUUUUACAGAGGGAUAGCCCAGAGAAAUUUGGAUUAAUACCUCAUAGUAUUUUCGAAUCGCAUGAUUUGAUUAUUAAAGUUCCAACGGUAAAAGAUGAGUAUGCGUCCCAUUAGCUAGAUGGUAAGGUAACGGCUUACCAUGGCAACGAUGGGUAGGGGUCCUGAGAGGGAGAUCCCCCACACUGGUACUGAGACACGGACCAGACUCCUACGGGAGGCAGCAGUGAGGAAUAUUGGACAAUGGGCGCAAGCCUGAUCCAGCCAUGCCGCGUGCAGGAAGACGGUCCUAUGGAUUGUAAACUGCUUUUAUACAGGAAGAAACACCUCUACGUGUAGAGACUUGACGGUACUGUAUGAAUAAGCAUCGGCUAACUCCGUGCCAGCAG
rnacentral:rRNA from 1 species